rnacentral:rRNA from 1 species
UCCUUUUGUUUAUUAAUUUAAGGUCUAGCCUGCCCAAUGAGGAAUUGAAUGGCCGCAGUAUAUUAACUGUGCUAAGGUAGCGUAAUCAUUUGUCUUUUAAUUGAGGGCUGGAAUGAAGGGUUGGACGAGGUACUUGGCUUUCUUUUAUUCAGUUUGAAGAAUUUAAUUUUUGAGUUAACAAAGCUUAAAUUUAUUUAUGGGACGAGAAGACCCUAUAGAUCUUUAUAGUUCUAAUAUUUUAAUAAUUUAGGGAUUUAUAUAUUUUGGGGUAAAUGAACUAUUUUGUUGGGGUGACUGUAGAAUUUGAGUAACUUCUA